rnacentral:misc_RNA from 1 species
UAGAACUCAGAGAUUCACCUGCCUUU